CCCAUGUGAUGAAAUGCCUUUUGCCUGACAUUUGUGAGGGCAAAAUGUUUGACUGAUUUAAUGAGGCUGAUGG